GAUAUUAAAGAAGGUUUAUAUUAAACAUGGUUUAUGUGAGAAAUGAUUUAUUGAUUUAUUGUUAAUACUUUAUAACUUAAGGUUUAUACUUUAGAACUGAA